ensembl:lincRNA
GGAAAUUUCUGCCUUCCCCACCCUGUGGAGCUCCUCUUAUUUAAUUCCACGAUGUCACACAGCUUUCUUUACUGUGCUGAUAACUCUCAAGAAAAAUGUCAAUUGGAAAAGCAACAAGGAAGCAAUGCAGAACUCACCCCCAUCUGCCAGUGGAGGACCUAUCAGCCUGGGAGAAGCAAGAAAUCCAUGCAUACUCCCCGCUCCAGCUGUGUGCCAGGAGAGAGCCUGCUGGAUGGAGAGAAGCAGCGAGGAAGCCAUGCAGCCCCCUCGCCCCAUGUGCUGGCAGGGGCCCUCCUGGCUGAGGAGCUGUGCAGCUCCCCAUGUGCCGGCAGAGCCUUACUGGCUAAAGAGAACCAGCAAGGAAGUCAUGCACACCACUGUGUGCUAGUGGCAGACCUGAAGGCCAGGAUGAACCAGCGAGGAAGCUGCCUCCACCCUGAUUCCUCCAUAAGAAACUGGAUAUGACCCGGGCUGAGAUGAUGCCAACUGAAGUAGGGAAGCAACGUGACGUUUGUGUUGUCUGACUGACUCGGCAAGCAUGGGACUGGUAGUCUGAGCAACUAUCUAGAGGAUAACAAU